AAUGAACGCUGGCGGCGUGCCUAACACAUGCAAGUCGUACGAGAAAGGGGCUUCGGCCCUGAGUAGAGUGGCGCACGGGUGAGUAACGCGUGGGUAAUCUGCCCUUGGAUUUGGAAUAACUCCGCGAAAGUGGAGCUAAUACCGGAUAGUCUGGCUUUUAAUAGAAGUCGGUAAAGGAUGCAUCUGCAUAAGCAUUCGUCCGAGGAUGAGCCCGCGUCUCAUUAGCUAGUUGGUAGGGUAAUGGACUACCAAGGCAACGAUGAGUAGCUGGUCUGAGAGGAUGAUCCGCCACACUGGAACUGAAACACGGUCCAGACUCCUACGGGAGGCAGCAGUGGGGAAUAUUGCGCAAUGGGCGAAAGCCUGACGCAGCAACGCCGUGUGAGGGAUGAAGGCUUUCGGGUCGUAAACCUCUGUCGGAAGGGAAGAACGGGUGAGGGUCUAAUAGGCCUUCAUUUUGACGGUACCUUUAGAGGAAGCACCGGCUAACUCCGUGCCAGCAGCCGCGGUAAGAC
rnacentral:rRNA from 1 species